UAUUAUCAGCCAUGAACUUGUCAAUGAAACCUGGAGCACAGGAACACAGAGGUGCAGGAAAUCCACAUCGGAUCAAGACAGACUGUGAGCUUACGAGCUUAUGCACGAGCUUGCGCAGCCCUUCUUGAUCCUAUAAAACAAGGUCAAAUGGCACAUGACAACAUCUGGCCAGACGUGCAUCAAUGUCUUCAACACACAACCUAGGCAUGAUCAAGGGAUGUCCCAUGUUUGUACAACAAAAUCGCUCAACAAUGCACUCCUAAGGCACUCUGGGGACGAAAUGACACCAGCCUGUUCUUCGAUCUCUUUUAUGAUAUUUCCAGCUGUGGUGUCUCUUGCUGUGUUCACACCCUCAACACCAGCCCCACAGCAUCUAAUCCCUCUCUAACUUGGGCAAGAGCCUUACUACUAUUGUUCACUCUUACUAACCCAAAUAAUUGUUUCCAUCUCUAUAAUUAUUUAUUUAUCGGCCUUUUGGGACAAGGUCUCGCUCCAUAGCCCUGACUGGCUUGGAACUUGCUGCGUAGAACACAC
ensembl:lncRNA